AACCUUUUUCUUCAGCUUCAAGCCUCAGCAGGUCUCAGAGGACCAAUCAGAGCCCAGCUACAGACCACAUGAUCAACCAGGGUGAAACUGAAGACGGACAUUAUGCUUCUCUUCUUCAUGGUGAUUCUUGUCUCUAUGAAACACUCAGAGGCUCUGAAGAACGUGAACAAGGGACGAAUGAUGAACCAGAGGAGAGCGAUUACUCAAAUGUGACGAGGUAAACAGUUGCAGGUACUUCAAGUACAACGGACCAUGUAGUACAAUAUGAAUAAAACAUCUGCAUGGACAGAACCAGGGGAACAGAUGACGACAUGAAAAACCACAUCUUUGUCUCUUUGAGUAAUUAUUGUGUAACUUCUUCUUUCCUGAUAUGAAACAGUAUUUUGUAGUUAAUGAGCAGAUCAUUUAAGGAAAAUACAUCACAUGUCUUUAAAGGCUUUACUUGGUGGUAAAAUGAAUCUAUAUUAUUACCUGUAUACUUAUUCAAAUGUUGGUAUUGAGUGUGUUUUUUUCCUCAGUUACUUUGUUUUUUAAAGCUUUUGUAGAAAACUUUGACUGGAGGCUGGUUUGAAAAGCAGAAAAAAGCAGUUUGACGUCUUUGAGCUUCAGUGCGUUGGUGAUAUUAUUCAAUAUGAAGUCAUUUUCUCCUUUACUUCUGACGUAAAACAGCGUUACGCAUUUAUUACACUUUUAAUCUCUUACUGAGCAGCAUAUUUUCGAAGAUUUGUUAAUUUUUGUCUUUUAUAUAAAAGGUUUUGCAGUUGCCGUUUGAAUUUUACGCACCAAUAAACUCUCUGAGUCUGAGCUUCGGAUCAAGGAAUGCUUCUUUAAACUCGCCUCGGCUGAGACGAGAAGUCAAUAAGAAUUACAAAUGAUAAAUAAUUGAAUAACAGACAUUAGCAAGACAACUUUUAAACAAUUAACGGUAGAAUAGUGUAAUAUUUAGCCAAAUAGAGAAGUCCCCUCUCAUGUGGAUUACAGAAGGCUCCUGCCUGCCUCUUCUCCAGCUCCCUUGAGCUGCUGUCGUAUAUGAUUGGCUGCACGUUCAAACGUGGCUCCUCCCUCGUGAAUUCCUUUCUGUUCCAAGACGUCACAUGACUCCCUCCUGGUUUGAUCUGAAACCCCUCACUGAGCUGUCCAACCCCUUUUCACUUAAUACUACAGUACAGUCAAUGAGUGCACCAUGAAGUUUCUUCAUGUAAACAUAGUGUCACAGACUCACCGUCUGGGCUUACUUCCCGUUUUAUGUUGUAGUUUCAUGUCUCUUGUCCCUGGGUUUAAUUUAUCUUCCUGACUUGUCCUGUGAUUAUGUGCCGCGUCGAUGAUCUCUAAACUAAUCACAUAGCUGCCGGGGUUCUCUCUGUGUUGCUGUCAGGUGUCAUUUCAGUGCAAAACCGAAUGAGACCUUCCUCCACCCCUGGCACCUCCAGCAGCUCAGGCAUUCUUUUAAGUCCUGGGUUUCAUCAACUCCCUUCACCACUGUCACGUUCGGCUGCUGGUUG